UGGCAGGUGGCAAUUUUUUUUGGUUGUAAUUCAUUCAUUUUUUUUAUUGCGUAUUUUUGUUUGUGCGUCUGCGUCGUUUUUUGUCGAAUUGUGGGCUUGCACACAAAAAAAAAUAGCCUUGUGUGUACACUACUAAAUCGUAGUGGAGUGGCGAAACUACCAAAUCAGCUAGUACACUACCAAAAUCGAUAGUACACUACCAAAUCAGCUAGUACACUACCAAAAUCGAUAGUACACUACCAAAAUAGUGCACACUACCAAAUCGAAUAGUACACUACCAAAAUAGUGCACACUACCAAAUCGAAUAGUACACUACUUUGAUUUUUGACCUCUCCCCCUUUUUAACCCUUUCGACCUCCUUUUCAUUAUUUGUAUUGAAUUUAAAUUUUAUUGUAAAAUUAAAUGAAUAUAAAUAAAUUAUAAAUUAUUUUUAAAAACAAAAUAUCAUGAUAAUGCACAAAUUGUAUUAUGCUGAUCCAAAAUCCAACAUUUUAUGGUAUGAAUUUUUGUUGUCCAAUAGAAAAGAUAUAUUGUUCCGUUCUCCAAGUUCUAAAUGUUUUCAACACAAUGUCCGAGUUUACAAAUCCCAAAAAUAUGUUAAUAUUGCAAUUCGAAUCAUAUCAACGGCAUUGAGAGAUUUGACUACAUGGCAUUAUACUAAAUAAUUGAAAAGGAUUAGUUGUAACCGUGGAUUUUCAAUUCAAUUACAUACCUGUUUGUUU